ncrna:unclassified sequences Actino-pnp RNA
GUCGGUCCUCGGUAGUGAAGUUCGGCUCAAUGAGCCGCGCUUCUCGAUCGAAGAUCGAC